UUUCCGUAGGUGAACCUGCGGAAGGAUCAUUAAAUAGUACUACAGAUUACAUAUGCAAAUAUGACAAUCUACUACUAUAUACCAUUCCGAGUACUCUUUUUCCAUGUUGCUUCCGCGAGGUAGACACUUCAAGUGGCCGUAUGCUCCGGAUCUCUCUUCUUGGAGAGCCGGCUGUAGGCGCGAUUUCCUUUCGAAAGGUCAAUUACAAGUCCAAUUAUGUUUUUAUUUUGUGUCUGAAUAGUUUUUUUUUUUCUUUCUUUUUUUAAUUAAUAAAUACAAAAAAAAUAAACUAACAUAUAAAACUUUCAACAACGGAUCUCUUGGUUCUC
rnacentral:misc_RNA from 1 species